rnacentral:rRNA from 1 species
GACGUAGGGCGCGAGCGUUGUCCGGAUUUAUUGGGCGUAAAGAGCUCGUAGGCGGCUUGUCGCGUCGGAUGUGAAAGCCCGGGGCUCAACCCCGGAACGGCAUCCGAUACGGGGCGGCUGGAGACCGGGAGAGGAGGGUGGAAUAGCCAGUGUAGAGGUGAAAUUCGUAGAUAUUGGCUGGAACACCGGUGGCGAAAGCGGCUCUCUGGCCCGGUUCUGACGCUGAGGCGCGAAAGCGUGGGGAGCAAACAGG